CCCUACUAGAGAUCAAGGAAUAUAGUCUCAUAGGACUUCUUUUAUUAUACCACUAGUGUUAUUAAUUUCUGCUAUCACUAGUUUAGUAGUGGUUAGUAUCUGCUAAAUAUCAUAUUGUUUCGGUUCGUGGAGAACCAAUUUACUCGUAUUUCCUCGGUUCGUAGAGAACCAAUUUACUCUUGUUGCGCUUAGUAGAGCAUCCUAGUUGGUUCGGUUCAUAGAGGAUCAAUUUACUCUUGUUGUGGAUAGUAGAGGACUGACCAAGUUACUCUUAUUGCUUCGGUUAGUAGAGGACCGAUGUACCCUUGUCGACUUGCUUAGUAGGGUCGAUUUACUCUGUUGGUUUGAUUAGUAGAGGAUCGACUUAUUCUAGUUGCUUUAGCCUAUAGAGGUUCGAUUUACCGUUGUUGACUUGGUCAGUAGAGGACUGAUCCCUUUCUUAUGUUCUUAGUUCGGUCAGUAGUUCAGUCAGUUGGAGACCGACUCACUCUAUUUUAUAGAGAUUCUGAUCCUUGGGUUAUGUGUGCUGGUUAGAUAACCUAAAAGUUACAUUUGAGUUCAUGACUUGUACAGACGAAGAAUUGUUUGAGUUAGCUGCAUACCAUUACUAGCUUGACUAGUUUGUAGAGGAUCGAUGUAUCCUAUUCUAUGGAGACUUUAACCAUAGACUGUAUGUACCUGGUAGGAUGACCUUGAGGGUACAUUUGGGAUAGGUGACCCCCAUUGACGUGAAAAAGUAUAGAGCUAUCUGCUUAACGCUUACGUGAUACCUUUGUUAUAUAGGUGUAUGAGAUGACGAGUACAUUCAGAUAUAUGACUUGUACUGAUGAAGAAAUGAUGAUGUUAGCUGCGUAUCCUUUAUAUGACUGGGCACCAUAUAAAGGAAGAUGAAGAAAAUAUUUAUUGAGAACAACAUAUCUCGGUGAUUAUGUUGAGGUGUUUGAGAGAGUACUUCUCUACCUCCUUGGGAGGCGUGAUGAUUUAUAAGGCGAUGAUUAGCUGAUUUGUCUAUUUUUGUCCCAUGGGAGAUCCUGACUCAUGGACCGAUUGGACAUAGGUAAAUAUCCUCAAUGAUACAUAUUGAUAUAUGAUCUGUAGGGAUGCAAAGUAUGUGGUGUUAGUUGCCUAACACCUACGAGAUUCUACCUUCACUGAAUGGAAAUGUCAGAUGAUAAUAUUCGAGUAGCAGAGUGACCAUUGGCAGUUAUGUCGAUUAGCUACUCAUUGAGGGUACACCUCUACCCUUGUGUCCAUUGCUCGUCACUAAAGGUUACUGAACCGUAGGUGGAGCAAUCGUAGUAUGGGUUACAAGACCUUGAACACACGAUCAUUUACUAAAGGUCUUGAAGUCUAUAUUUUAGAUCAGGAUGUUCGAUAUUUUUAUCGACAAUUGUUGGACACUUACGGUACGACUAUGAGAAUUAUGGAGAUACUUUAUAUCUGUGGGAGGUUAGGUGUGAUCCUGAGUCACUUCUUAUCCAGGAGGAGUUUCUGUAGGAAAACAUCUCGAUAUGGAUUUGUGAUACAUCCGGGUGACACCCGAUGUAUAGGUACUUAGAGUAUUUCUAUUGGUUGAAUGACAUAAAAAAAAAGACAUCGCGGAUUUGGUAGCUUGAUGUCUAGUAUGUCAGCAAGUGGAGGCUGAACAUCGAAGAUUAGUAAGAUUAGUUCAGUAGAUUCGGAUACUGUAAUGGAGUUGAGCGCAUGUUAUAAUGGAUUUUAUUGUAGGAUUACCGAGACACAAAGAGGAUAGGAUGUGUUGGAAAAUCAUUGAUUGGUUGACUAGAUUUAUUUUCCUUUCUAUCGAUCUGUAGAACAGAUUCUUUGGAUCGAGUAGGAGGGUUUUAUUUUAGAGAGAUUAUCGGACCACAUGGUAUAUCUUUGAGUGUUAUAUUGGAUUGAGAUCCAUGAUUCACCUCACGUAUCUCGAAGAGUUUGUAGCAUUGUGAGUGUGGAGCUUUGUUGAAGUGGAGGUUUCCACCAUAUGACAGAUGGACAGUCGGAGCACGUUAUGUGGAUGUUAGAGGAUUUGCUGAUACUAGGUGUUGUGGAUUUUGGAGAUGUUUGAUUUACUUACAGUUGGCUUGACAGCAGUGUGAGAGUAGCGGAAGCAGGAUGAGCUCAUAACACACAGAGUCAUCUUUGACAGUUGGAGAUUUGUAAUGAUACUUGGAUGUAGGGGAAUAUGAGUAUGUUGUUUGGUUGUUACUCUUAGAUGAGGAUCCGUGAGUAGAGCAGUAAAUUUGGGGACCAAAUUUUUAUUAGUGGGGGAGAAUGUAAAAUACGGUACCCAAAUAAUAGUUAAAUAAUAAGGUUAUUUGACAAAUAAUCUUAUUGGAAUUUUACAGAAAUUUUUAGAAAUUUUCUGGAAAUUUUUCGGAGUCGGUUUGGCGUAGUUUAAGGGGAUCAUUUAUAGGAUAAGUGGAAGCCCGUUUAAAAUACCUAAAAGUGGGAGUUGAUUGAGGAAACCAACUUAGGGUUUAAUUUAUUGAACCUAGGUUUAAAAAUCUCACCCAAUCUCACCAUGCCCUAAUCUCACGCCGACCACUCCAUUUCCCUUCCUCCCUCUUGCUCCUUGUCGCCGAGAUCUCACCGCUGCCCCUCACUCUCCUUAUUCUCAUCCGCCACCUCCUCUCCUUCGAUCACCAGAGCUGGAUCUGCCGCCAAGCUCCCGGAGUUGCCCUACCUUGCACGGGCUGCCUUCAGCCAAGAGCAGGAGGUGUCAUCCUCUUAUGUGCGGCACAGUCUUGCGUGACCUAGCAUCGUCGAAGCCGUCAACCAUCAGCAGCCCGUGGCCGGUGUAGACGCACACCGAGCGUCGAACCUACCUCUUCACCGACGCCUCUCACUUCUCCGAUGCCACAAUCCCGAGUUCGCCGGCACUGAUCUUCUCAUCGUUGGCUGGACUUGCCAUCUCCACGGAUCGUCGGACGUUUGCUACGGUUGUCCUUCUCUCUGAGUUGCAGCCCAUGCCUGGCCAUCCGCACCGCCAGAUCGCCGAUUCUCUGUCGCCUCGAAGGGCACCUGAUGCCGCCGUCGUUUUCCCUCUCCGGCCACGAGCAGGAGGCAGUGGGGUUGUGCCCGUGAGUCGAUUUCCCCUCUCCCACACCACGUGAUGCCAUCACCGACGCUGUGCCUUGGUUGUGCUUGCCACAGUGCUGAUCAUCGAUCAUCGAUGUCAACAUUCCAGGCGGACUGGUCGUCACCAGUGAGGCUCUUCCACCACCGUGGGUCGUCGUCUACCCUAAUGUGAGCUUGACCUUGCCUUGUUGCCCCAAUUGGUUCUCUGGUGGACAUGGAGCAGCUCCAUCAGAUAAUUGGUGAGGUUGCUGGAGAUGUUUCUGUGUGUAAUAUGAUCAGGGAUUGUAUUAGUUGAGAUUGUUCUUGGGUCAGAUCUGAAAUUGUUGGAGGAAGCUAAGGACUUUGUUUCGAGACGAGCAUCUCGAUGUCGGAUUUCGGGACACGAUCGACAGAUAAAGG